UGGUGGAGUGAUUUGUCUGGUUAAUUCCGUUAACGAACGAGACCUCAGCCUACUAAUUAGAAUUGCUAAUGUUUUCAUUGGUUUUAUUUCUUCUUAGAGGGACUAUCGGUUUUGCAGCCGAAGGAAGUAUGAGGCAAUAACA
rnacentral:rRNA from 1 species